UUUCAGGUUUUGUGUAGAUGUUGUUUGCAUCGCACUUCAGUUCAGAACAUGGAGGGUUAGGCGGCUCGCCAAUUGGCAGUUCGUUAAAAUCCACAGAACAGUUCCUUUAGUAGGCGAUAGCAAGGCACUCAGACAGUCUUAAUUUGGGGAAAUAAGAUCAAUGAAAAGAUAGGUUACCUGAUGAUACACUUGAAAGAGAAAGGGAUAUGAUAUUUCGUUGAUGACGUGAACUGCAAAAGGAUGCUCUUGGUGGCAACAUCCCGGGCUUCAGAAACAUGAUUGGUUCAGCCGAAAGGAUGUAUUGCAAUUAUGCAGAGAGAUGGAAUUGUUUGAACUCCAGUGCCACCUUCACCAAUCGAUGGCAUGACAAGACAUGCCAUAAGAGCAUCGAUGCUUCUAGGAUGAAGAAUGAAUGCAUGUCAUUCAGGAAUAACUGUGGACAGUGAAAUGUUGAAGGGUCCGUCUCUCACCCCCAC